AGUGAACGCUGGCGGUAGGCCUAACACAUGCAAGUCGAACGGCAGCACAGUAAGAGCUUGCUCUUACGGGUGGCGAGUGGCGGACGGGUGAGGAAUACAUCGGAAUCUACUUUUUCGUGGGGGAUAACGUAGGGAAACUUACGCUAAUACCGCAUACGACCUACGGGUGAAAGCAGGGGAUCUUCGGACCUUGCACGAUUGAAUGAGCCGAUGUCGGAUUAGCUAGUUGGCGGGGUAAAGGCCCACCAAGGCGACGAUCCGUAGCUGGUCUGAGAGGAUGAUCAGCCACACUGGAACUGAGACACGGUCCAGACUCCUACGGGAGGCAGCAGUGGGGAAUAUUGGACAAUGGGCGCAAGCCUGAUCCAGCCAUACCGCGUGGGUGAAGAAGGCCUUCGGGUUGUAAAGCCCUUUUGUUGGGAAGGAAAAGCAGCAGGUUAAUACCCCGCUGUUCUGACGGUACCCAAAGAAUAAGCACCGGCUAACUUCGUG
rnacentral:rRNA from 1 species